UAGGGAAUCUUCCACAAUGGACGCAAGUCUGAUGGAGCAACGCCGCGUGAGUGAAGAAGGUCUUCGGAUCGUAAAACUCUGUUGUUAGAGAAGAACACGAGUGAGAGUAACUGUUCAUUCGAUGACGGUAUCUAACCAGCAAGUCACGGCUAACUACGUGCUA
rnacentral:rRNA from 1 species